UGGCCCAGAUCGUUUACCGUGAAAAAAUUAGAGUGUUCAAAGCGGGCAGAUAUUUUUCCUGCCACCGAAUACAUUAGCAUGGGAUAAUGGAAUAGGACCCUGACCUCCUAUUUUCAGUUGGUUUUGUUUACAGCGAGGUUAUAUCAGGGUAAUGAUUAAUAGGGAUAGUUGGGGGCAUUAAUAUUUAAUUGUCAGAGGUGAAAUUCUUGGAUUUAUGAAAGAUUAACUUCUGCGAAAGCGUUUGCCAAGGAUGUUUUCAUUAAUCAAGAACGAAAGUUAGGGGAUCGAAGACGAUCAGAUACCGUCGUAGUCUUAACCAWAAACGAUGCCGACCAGCGAUUAGGAGACGUUGAAUACAAAACACCGCUGUUAAUCCUCCGGGUAWWYCCAG
rnacentral:rRNA from 1 species